rnacentral:rRNA from 1 species
GAUGAACGCUGGCGGCGUGCCUAAUACAUGCAAGUCGAGCGAACAGACGAGGAGCUUGCUCCUCUGACGUUAGCGGCGGACGGGUGAGUAACACGUGGAUAACCUACCUAUAAGACUUGGAUAACUUCGGGAAACCGGAGCUACUACCGGAUAAUAUAUUGAACCGCAUGGUUCAAUAGUGAAAGACGGUUUUGCUGUCACUUAUAGAUGGAUCCGCGCCGCAUUAGCUAGUUGGUAAGGUAACGGCUUACCAAGGCAACGAUGCGUAGCCGACCUGAGAGGGUGAUCGGCCACACUGGAACUGAGACACGGUCCAGACUCCUACGGGAGGCAGCAGUAGGGAAUCUUCCGCAAUGGGCGAAAGCCUGACGGAGCAACGCCGCGUGAGUGAUGAAGGUCUUCGGAUCGUAAAACUCUGUUAUUAGGGAAGAACAAAUGUGUAAGUAACUAUGCACGUCUUGACGGUACCUAAUCAGAAAGCCACGGCUAACUACGUG